AACGUAGGAGACAAACGUUAUCCGGAGUUACUGGGCGUAAAGGGCGUGUAGGUGGUUUCGUAAGUCUGGCGUGAAAUAUCUCGGCUUAACCGAGGCAGGUCGUCGGAUACUGCGGGACUAGAGGACGGUAGAGGCGUGUGGAAUUCCGGGUGUAGUGGUGAAAUGCGCAGAUAUCAGGAGGAACACCGAUGGCGAAGGCAGGUCUCUGGGCCAUAACUGACGCUGAGAAGCGAAAGCAUGGGGAGCGAACAGG
rnacentral:rRNA from 1 species